GCUUGUCUCAAAGAUUAAGCCAUGCAUGUCUAAGUGUAAAUAAGUCUAUACUGUGAAACUGCGAAUGGCUCAUUAAAUCAGUUAUCGUUUAUUUGAUGAUCUCUUACUACUUGGAUAACCGUAGUAAUUCUAGAGCUAAUACAUGCGUCAAGCCCCGACUCACGAAGGGGUGUAUUUAUUAGAUUCAAAGCCAACCGUGUAAAAAGCGUACCUUGGUGAUUCAUAAUAACUUUCGGAUCGAUUUAUCGAUGCAUCAUUCAAGUUUCUGCCCUAUCAGCUUUGGAUGGUAGGGUAUUGGCCUACCAUGGCUUUAACGGGUAACGGAG
rnacentral:rRNA from 1 species